GAUGAACGCUGGCGGCGUGCUUAACACAUGCAAGUCGAACGAUGAAGCCCAGCUUGCUGGGUGGAUUAGUGGCGAACGGGUGAGUAACACGUGAGUAACCUGCCCUUAACUCUGGGAUAAGCCUGGGAAACUGGGUCUAAUACCGGAUAGGAGCGCCUACUGCAUGGUGGGUGUUGGAAAGAUUUAUCGGUUUUGGAUGGACUCGCGGCCUAUCAGCUUGUUGGUGAGGUAAUGGCUCACCAAGGCGACGACGGGUAGCCGGCCUGAGAGGGUGACCGGCCACACUGGGACUGAGACACGGCCCAGACUCCUACGGGAGGCAGCAGUGGGGAAUAUUGCACAAUGGGCGAAAGCCUGAUGCAGCGACGCCGCGUGAGGGAUGACGGCCUUCGGGUUGUAAACCUCUUUCAGUAGGGAAGAAGCGAAAGUGACGGUACCUGCAGAAGAAGCACCGGCUAACUACGUG
rnacentral:rRNA from 1 species